rnacentral:rRNA from 1 species
UGAGGAAUAUUGGACAAUGGGCGAAAGCCUGAUCCAGCUAGAUCGCGUGAGUGAUGAAGACUGUAUUGGUUGUAAAACUCUUUACUUGAAUGGAGAUUAUGACAAAGUUCAAGAAAAAAGUCCCGGCUAAUCUCGUGCCAGCAGCCGCGGUAAUACGAGAGGGGCAAGCGUUAUUCGGAAUGAUUGGGCGUAAAGUGCACGUAGGCUGUUUAGAAAAUCAACUAGAAAAAAAUCAAAGCUUAACUUUGACAUCUCUUUGUUUGAUUUCUAAACUUGAGUGAGUAAAAGGAGAAUGGAAUUCCUGGUGUAGAGGUAAAAUUUGUUGAUAUCAGGAGGAACAUCAAAAGCGAAGGCAAUUCUCUAGUACUUUACUGACGUUGAGGUGCGACAGCGUGGGGAUCAAAAG